GAUGAACGCUGGCGGCGUGCCUAAUACAUGCAAGUCGAGCGAACAGACGAGGAGCUUGCUCCUCUGACGUUAGCGGCGGACGGGUGAGUAACACGUGGAUAACCUACCUAUAAGACUGGGAUAACUUCGGGAAACCGGAGCUAAUACCGGAUAAUAUCUUGAACCGCAUGGUUCAAUAGUGAAAGACGGUUUUGCUGUCACUUAUAGAUGGAUCCGCGCCGCAUUAGCUAGUUGGUAAGGUAACGGCUUACCAAGGCAACGAUGCGUAGCCGACCUGAGAGGGUGAUCGGCCACACUGGAACUGAGACACGGUCCAGACUCCUACGGGAGGCAGCAGUAGGGAAUCUUCCGCAAUGGGCGAAAGCCUGACGGAGCAACGCCGCGUGAGUGAUGAAGGUCUUCGGAUCGUAAAGCUCUGUUAUUAGGGAAGAACAAAUGUGUAAGUAACUAUGCACGUCUUGACGGUACCUAAUCAGAAAGCCCCGGCUAACUACGUG
rnacentral:rRNA from 1 species